UGAAACACAACAGAAAUCAAACUCGUGUGCUUCUCAAUUCAAACCCAAUAACAAAACAUCAAACCUCAAAUACUAUAUAGCACAAAUUUAUCCAAAUCAAACUCGGUCUGAACUUGAACUAACAAAAAAACAACACAUAUAAAAAUCUAUGCAUUCCUGAAAUUGUUUUUAAAAAUUGUUUUCCCGAUCCCAAGAAGAGAUGAUAUGACUCAUUUGAUUUAGAAAACGGUGUCGUGUCUCUCCCUCUCUCUGUGUUCCAAAACCCAAAAUCCCAUUCCGGCUACGAUUGCCACGCUGGUGUUUAAUUUAAAAAUCGGCGUCGUAGCACCAGCAACAUAGGGUUAGGGUUAGGGUUAGGGUUUUGACGCAUCGAUUGUGGUCAAAAUGGAGGCAGAGAUGGAUCAUUACGCGGUGCUAGGGUUACCGUCCGGCGAAGAAGGCGCGAAACUAACGGAGAAAGAAAUCAACAAGGCCUACCGAUGGAAAGCUCUCGAAUUGCACCCCGACAAGAGGCCCGACGACCCCAACGCCGCCGCCAACUUCCAACAGCUCCGCACCUCGUACGACAUCCUCAGGGACGACAAGGCCCGCAAGUUGUUCGACGACCUCUUGCGCGUCAAGCGAGAGCGCCAGCUCCGCAAUUUGCAGCGCGACGGAAAGCGCCGCAAGAUGGUCUCCGAUCUCGAGCGCCGGGAGCGCGACGCCAACGCCCCCGACCCCGCCGCGAAGGAGCGCGAAGAGGAGGCCAGGAUUGCGAGGCAACUCAAGGAGGAGAUCGCGAGGAUUCGUGCUAUGCACGGGAAGAAGGAGGAGGCACCGGCGGCGGCGCCGGCGAAGGAGAAGGAUAGUGGCGGUAGUAGUGGAGUGGAUCAAGAGAAGGUUCUGAAGGUUUCGUGGGAGAAGGUGGGUGAGGAUUAUUCGGCUGAUAAGUUGAGGGAAUUGUUCUCCAAGUUUGGUGAAGUGGAAGAUGUUGUCAUCAAGGGGAGUAAGAAGAAGGGUUCUGCUCUCGUUGUUAUGGCCAUUAAAGAAGGAGCUGUUGCUGCUACUGGGAGUGUGAUUGGUCAUCUUGCCAAUCCGUUGCUGGUUGUACCUCUUAAACCAGCAUCUGUGGCUGAUUCUUCGAGCGUUCCAAAAUCUGCUGAAACCACCAGGAUGAGUAAUCUGGUUGGUGCUGGGUAUCAAGCUUUUGAGGAUUCUGUUCUGAAGAAACUGCAAAAGGCUGCGGAAAAGCAAAGAUGAUGCUGUCAGAAUGAUAAUCAUAAGAUUCAAUUGUUUGGCAUGGUCAUCCCCAGUUCUAUUUAUUAGGAGUCUACAACCUCUGGUGAUAUAAUUGAAGGAAAUUUCCUUUUGAUGAAAACCAUAAACUGAAAAUUGAAUCAGUUGUUUGGUUUUAAUGUCAUCCGGGGUCUAUGCCAAAUGCUGUUGGGUUAUUAACAGAGAAAACCAAUACUACUGUGCAAGCAGAUGGAAAGUCAGAGACCAUUGAUUCCCACGAUUGCUUAAAUUUUAGUCUCAGUCAAGUCCUGUGUGCUUGCUUAUUAGUUUGGAAUUCGUUCUGCUAUCAGCAUGCAGCACUUAAAUGGGAAUGGAACUCGGAUUAAGCCCAAAUUCUAAGAACACGCAUUUGGCUAAGCUCACUCUCAAUGUGCUGGACGAUGCGCUAUAUAGUGCAAUUACGAUAGUAACUAUUAAUUGGACACAGGAAUAUUUGGCAUUUUGCAAGAACAAUAAAUAGUUGUAUAUAUAGCUUUAGAACGUGUGUCAAGUAUCAUGGUUGUAGAAUUAUCGUCACUACUCAUUCUUGUUCGAUCAUCUGUGUCGGCUGCGAGGCUUUCUAAAAGUGCCAUUUAUACUGGUGAUUAUGACUCUGUAUCAUCAUCAUUAUUUUUUUUUUUCUGGUUUA